GAGUAGUUGUUUGUUUUCAAAACACAGUAAUUGAUUUUCAGAGAUGCUCAGCUUCAGAAUUUCAACCUUAAAGUCCAGAAUGGCUUUGGGAAUAUAAAAUACGUGUAAUAUUUCUGCAUUAUUAUAAUUCUGAAUUGAAAUAAGGGCGUCAUUUUGCUAUGUGUUGUAAAACAUGCAGUUACUGUGUGACUGAGGGCACAACUGAAGGAAUCAAGACGAAGGGAAGGAGAUGGAAAACGGUGUUUGUUCUUGCAGGGGGAGCUGAAGGACAGAAAGAGGAUUUGUAAAGUGACAGAUUAACACAAGGGACACAGCUUCUGACUGUAGGGUUCAGAGAAAUGACAGGUACUUUCAAGUAAAACAAUAACACCUCUGUCCUCUCCAUAAAGCUUAGAGUGGACAUACUAAACAUUUACAGAAAAUAUGAAAGCCUUUUAUAUUAAAUAACUUAAUUUAAUUUUAACAAGUUAAGGGUAGUAUUCUUAAAAUUUACCAUUGUUUCAUUUCAGUGCUUCAGAAUGCUUUCCGAACAGGUGUUUCAAAGGAUGUAAGUCUUCUGAAACAGUCUUGCAUAAUUAUAGUUUCUAUAUACUGUAAACUUAUAUAUGUAAGUACUACUUCUGGAGGACACUGGCACCCUGAUGGCACAGCAGAUGAGAGCAUCACGAGUCUCUCCUUGUGAGCAGCUCUGCCCGGCCCUGGAGCUCUGCAGAAUCUUUCACUCAGAAGAUAAAUCCUUCUGUUCAUUACUGCGUAGCACUACUUGAUCUCUAUUAAAAAGCGUGUCAAGAGCUCAUUCUCUGUUGUGGCCUCACCAUGUGCAAUAACUGGGACAUUCACCCUGACUCUGAAGUGUCACUGCGGCAAGAUGGCCCUUUGGAUGUCAGCUAAACGGGUAAUUUUUCAAAUUCUAGAUAUGGCAGAGGGAGGAAAUACAGUUCCUGGUCUUCACACUUCAAGAUAAAAGAAAUGAGAAACUCCCACCAUCUUCACAGGGCAGUCUAAGAUGUAUUUGGCCUUUUACCCUUUCCUUGGAAGCAAUUUGUACUGUCACCACUGGAAACAGGUCACUCCAAUACAUAAGACAUCACUCCUUCCCCCUGGAAAUAGCAGUUUUCAGUGUUCCUAAAAGGCAUCAUUUGGGGAUUUCAGAAAAACUUACUAGUUGGACUCUUUCAAGAUAGAGUAGGCAGAUGCCCUGGAGAGUCAAUGUCAUAAAUCUGUACUUAGAUGUGACUGAAUGCAUCUUCUUGACAGCUCAUGACCUGCUGUUGAAACAACUUCAAAAUACUUUAUUUCCUAAGGGACACUCCUCUUGUGCUAAUUCACAAAAUUUUCUAGGUUAGGAAGAAAGACUCUGGUUGACAAAGGAGUCAGUGGCUGCCCAGUCUGCUUUCUCUCCUCAGGUUCGAGUGAGAGUACUAUAGUAUAUACUUGAGAGUAUACCAGAGAAAAGCCAUUAUCUUCCAUAGGAAACAAGUGCGCACUGAAUUUUACCUCUUUGUUUUUUAUAUUCCCUGACUGAGGAAAAGGAACAUCUAAUAAAACACUCAGCCACACUUACAGCUUAAUGCCACACUUAUGGAAGAUAAACAAUGUGUUUUUCUUGUCUCCAAGACAUUUUGCCCUUAGAUGAACAUGGAGCAAUGGGAUAGAGGAGACAUAUAAGGUUAUGAGAAUAGCAGAAGCUGUAGCUUGAAGAAAUAUGAGGGAGGAAAGGGAGGGCAUUUGGCAAUGAGAAUAAUAAAAUGUUCCAGCUGGCAAAUACUAAAACACCCAGAUAUCAUGUUAGAAUCAGUAUGAAUUUAACUAUACAUUAUGGGAGAAAUCAUGAGAGACUCUGCACGAGAAAGAAUCAGAUGGCACAACUGGAAAGACUGAAGUUAAAACUGACUACAAAAAGGAUCUUUUAUAGGGAAGAUGAAUUUACAAAGUCAGGUGAAAAACAGUUGCACAAAACGAGAUGAUACAAUUGCAGAGCUGGAAUAGAUUGCAUAGAGAGGAAUAGCUGGAUUUUAGUCUGGCAAGGAAAACAAAGGUGUCAGGCAGGCAAACAGUAAUAAUAACCAUGAUGGUUCACAAUAACCUUGAUGCCAACAGUUACUGGGCUGCACCAAAAAAUGGAGAAAAACCAAACCCACAUAAUUUCAAUAUAUAAAGGAGACAGAAAGCAUAAGAGUAACUUUACACAUACACGUUGUCGCUCCAAAUUCAAAUGGAAUUACUCAUGUGAAUAAAACCAGUGAUACGCAUGAGC